UACGGGGGGGAGCAAGCGUUGUUCGGAUUUACUGGGCGUAAAGGGCGCGUAGGCGGUCAGCACAAGUCAGUUGUGAAAUCUCCGAGCUUAACUCGGAAAGGUCAACUGAUACUGUGCGACUAGAGUGCGGAAGGGGCAACUGGAAUUCUUGGUGUAGCGGUGAAAUGCGUAGAUAUCAAGAGGAACACCUGCGGCGAAGGCGGGUUGCUGGGCCGGACACUGACGCUGAGCGCGAAAGCUAGGGGGAGCGAACGGG
rnacentral:rRNA from 1 species